rnacentral:rRNA from 1 species
UGGGGAAUUUUGGACAAUGGGCGAAAGCCUGAUCCAGCAAUGCCGCGUGUGUGAAGAAGGCCUUCGGGUUGUAAAGCACUUUUGUCCGGAAAGAAAUCCUUGGCUCUAAUACAGUCGGGGGAUGACGGUACCGGAAGAAUAAGCACCGGCUAACUACGUGCCAGCAGCCGCGGUAAUACGUAGGGUGCAAGCGUUAAUCGGAAUUACUGGGCGUAAAGCGUGCGCAGGCGGUUUGCUAAGACCGAUGUGAAAUCCCCGGGCUCAACCUGGGAACUGCAUUGGUGACUGGCAGGCUAGAGUAUGGCAGAGGGGGGUAGAAUUCCACGUGUAGCAGUGAAAUGCGUAGAGAUGUGGAGGAAUACCGAUGGCGAAGGCCAGCCCCCUGGGCCAAUACUGACGCUCAUGCACGAAAGCGUGGGGGAGCAAAACAGGAUUAGAUACCCUGGUAGUCCACGCCUUAAAACGAUGUCAACUAGUUGUUGGGGAUUCAUUUCCUUAGUAACGUAGCUAACGCGUGAAGUUGACCGCCUGGGGGAGUACGGUCGCAAGAUUAAAAACUUAAAGGAAUUGACGGGGUCAUAGCUGUUUCCU